rnacentral:rRNA from 1 species
AAUGAAUGCUAGCGAAUAUGCCUAACACAUGCAAGUCAAACAUAAUAUCUAAAAUUAGAUAUAAAGUGGCGUACGGGUGAGUAAGACAUAGGAAUCAAACUAAUAGUUUGGGAUAAGUAUAUGAUCUAAAAAAUCAGAAGAAUUGAUAUCAAAAAUAUCAGUUAAGUAUAAAUACCAAAUAAAUAAAGAUUAAAAUCGCUAUUAGAUGAGCCUAUGUAGGAUAGGUAGUUGGUGAGAUAAAGCUUACCAAGCCAAUGAUCCUUAGCUGGUCUGAGAGGACGAUCAGCCACACUGGGACUGAAACACGGCCCUGACUCUUACGGGAGGCAGCAGUGGGGAAUAUUGGACAAUGGGCGAAAGCCUGAUCCAGCAAUAUCGCGUGAGUGAUGAAGCCUUAUUUUUGGUGUAAAACUCUUUCGAUGUAGAAGAUAAUGACUGUAUACAAUAAAAGAAGUUUCCGGCUAACUCUGUGCCAGCAGCC